UUACUUUCUUCCCGGAUACCCCGCCCAAACCACGUAACUGUUUGACUCAACAGUGUAAUAUUCAGCCGGCACGCCGCGUCAUCGGCGCUCAUGCUAGCAGACGUCCGGCCUCUUCUUUUUUCCAGCUCCGCAGAAGUAGGGCAAAGUAACACCAAAGCCCCACAGGAAUUUACUGGAGAACAAACUCGGGACAUUAUUGCAAUCAGGAGAAGGAAACUCUUUUGUUUUUAAAGUUUUGUUUAACGUGCAACACGCUGGUGAACAGUCCGGAAGCUUGUUUUUCUCUUCGGCGUCGGAGAUUUCCAGGGUUUAUGCUUCUGUGGCAGACCCUACAUAAACUCGGAUUCAGUCGGUUUGGCUGAAGUCUGUUCCGCGCGCGUGUGUAUGUGUGGGUUAGUGCCUCACCCGGUCAGGUGAUUGAGGUGUGUCUAAUCACUAGAGCCUGUGGAGAUGCUUUGUUCUAUUCUACCUGUUGGUUUACUGAAAGAUGAUCGCAUGCUCAGCGGUCAACUGAAUCCUGUAUUGAACUGGGACUCUGCUCGGGGACACAUGAUCAAAUAACAUACGAGGCAUUUUUUAAAUAUCUUUAAGAAACAACAAACAAAACGUGCUUUUGGUGUGAAGUUAUCGCUGAGCCGCUUUAUUUGACGACACAAAAAAUCAAUUGAAUCGCCUGGUCUCACUUUACCAUGGAAACGCUUUACAGCGAUCGUAAUAGGAUUUUUUUUUCUAGCAGUUAACAGAGAGAGACUUUACAAAGAAAUUAUAUACUUUUCUGGGAUUAUAGUGGGACUUAACUUUAUAAACUAAUACGAACAAAUAAUAAUAAGAAAAACUAAUAAUCCGCUUUCUAUCGACUAACUCGGAUUGUGUGUGGAAACGCCAUGGCUCUCUCUCAGGUUCAGUGUCUUGAUGACAAUCAUGUGAACUGGCGUCUAAAUGAAUCCAAACCGGAGUUUUUUUACAGCGAGAAUCAGCGGCUCGCGCUUGAAGCGCUUAUUACGAAAGGACGCGACGCGUUUGAUGCCUAUAUGAAAGAGCACGAGCUGCGUCCUUUCCUGUCGGAACCCGAACUCGAGCGGUUGCGUCGGAGCAUAGAAGAUUACAAACCCGGUUCUGAGCAUCAAAAAACAGAUGGUACAGCGGAGGGAGAGGACGGAGCGGUGUCUUUGCAGUACUGGCCGGACCGCUCUGAUAUCUAUAUCCCAAAUCUAGACCUCGGUUGGCCAGACUGCAGUUCUUACAGAGGAGUGACGCGUGUCAAUGUCUACACGCAGCCACCAAUGGACGGACAGACGCAUAUAAAAGAGGUCGUGAGAAAGGCCAUAGCUCAAGCACAGAAGAUGAUUGCUGUGGUAAUGGACGUUUUCACAGAUGUUGACAUUUUUAAGGAUCUAAUAGAGGCUGGAUUCAAAAAGAAAGUAGCUAUAUACAUUAUUAUUGAUUAUGCAGCUUUACAGCACUUCCUACUUAUGUGUGAGAGAGCCAACAUGCACAGAGGACACCUCAAUAAUCUGCGGGUGCGAUGCAUCGGCGGAUCCGAAUUCUACACUCACUCGGCUCAGAAAGUGCAUGGCUCACUGAGUCAAAAAUUCAUGUUUGUGGAUGGAGACCGUGCAGUGUCUGGAUCAUACAGUUUUACAUGGACAGCUUCUCGUUUGGACCGCAACAUCAUUACAGUCCUGACAGGACAGGCCGUUGAAACUUUUGACAAGCAGUUCCGUGAACUGUACCUGAACUCUCGUGGGGUCAACCUAACCAAGAUCCCAUUGGCAGACCCUCCGGAGCCUGACCCUGUCCCAAUUGCCAUUCCUUCCCCCGUUUCCGUAACUGUUGCAAGAAAAUUAAUUAACCCUAAAUAUGCAUUGGUUAAUGUAGAUGCAGCAAGCAAAGCCUCUUCAGACAAGGCUAGUGCCAAGAACAGUAACUCCAAGAAUCCUAUGGUCCAGAUUCCCAAGCCUCAAAGGGAGUUGACGGAAGGACCGCAAAAGCACCCAGGACUUGUAGGUCUGCCAAAGGCCAAUCUUAUUCCCUACUUGCCCACCUGGCCAGAGCCAGACCCACCCAGUGAUGUUAUUGGGUUUAUUAAUAUCCGUGAUACAAGCAAGCCAGCACCAGUGCAUUUAAUGCGCUCUCAAAUGUUUGAAACAUCUCAAGCGAUCCGUUUUAAAGACCCAUUCACUGCCCCACCUGAGGAACCGUUACCAGAUAAAGCAAGUCCUCGUCCUAAAACAAAAGAAUUAUCUAAAACAGCAGCUGUAGAUGCAAAUGUUCAAUCAAUUACCCAACCUCAGGCAGAGACUAACUCUAAUAAUGCCCAUCAAGAUAUACCAACCAAUACAUCCCAUUCACCAAGCCCUCCAAUCCAACAACAAGACCCCAAAGCGAGCCCUCCUCUACAAGAGCAGGAGUCCAACCCUGAACCAGCAGAGGUGCAGCAGGCUUCAGAAAUGCCUGUGCCCAAGCCACGCACUCUUCAGUUGGUGGUUAAUAGACUGGAGGGCUUUGGAGACCCAGAGGUCACUUUAGUCAGAAGCGAGGAAAACCAAACAAGAAAUGCAGACACUCGAGACAACGAUGCUGACAGCACUGCUGUGACCUGUGCACAUUCAUUAAAGGAUAAAGAUGAGAAUUCCACAACGUCAGAUGAAUACUAUGAAUGUACUGACUCCGACAGCAGUGAUAAACUCCCUAACGGAAGAUUAACGGGUUCUGGUCGGGUUGGAGACCAUAGCCCUGAUGUGCUCAACGUGAUGGCCCGCUUCUCUCAAUCCAUGCUGGACUUGAGAUCGGAUGACAUCAAUCAAAACACUGCUGAGAAAAAUCUGCUGAACAUGCACAACAGAGACAAAACAAAGCACUAGCGGAUACAGCAGCUGGAGCGUGUGUGUAGUACCUGGAUAGAGAGCCCUGCUGAUCAUGCCAGCUUUACCAGAUGGUCUCCAGGUCACCUGUUUGAGAUGCUCAUGGCCGGGCCAAAGUGGUGAUUGGUAAACCUGGAGUAUUACAUAGACCCCCUAAAAGCAGUGGGCAUGUGAGUGGGGGCCACAGGUACUGUCAGGGGAAGAUGUUUGCUGCCCUCCCCUCAAAUGGAUCAGGCCAACAAAAUCUAAAGCGCUCCGGCUUGUCCCCUAGAAGAUAAAGCCCUGCCUAUACAAUAGAAGGACAGUGAAUCAGUCAAACUCCCACUCAGUGGUUCAUGCAUUCUCAGUCUCUCUCCCCUUUACUUCGGACCUCUAAAACAAGUCUCCAUCCCCUCGUAGACAGGUCGAGACUCGUACACCAUUAGGUAUCUCUUUAUAUAAACUUGCCAGUGUCAAACACCUCAGGCAGAAGGUUCCAUUGAACACGUUUGGUUUUGCUUUGGGGAAUAAAUUGUUGACACAGAGGCACAAUGAAAAUUAACCAAUUUAUGGUGGCUUUCUUCCCAGAAUAAAAACAAACAAACAAAAAAACAACUACUACUUUGUAUUGAGUACAAAGGCAUGAAUGUACAAUGAUGUAGCCACCAAUGUCUACUGUUAAAGACUUCAACUGGAGUUUAACUGGAUCUUUAAACUGACAAGAGUGUUACGGUGGCAAAUAAACACUGACACUGAUUGUGACAAGCAAAACUUAUUACAAGCAGCUUUACUCUUUAUUGACGUGCCUGUGAGUAAUCCGGACUAGUGCAAGAAUUUGGUGGUGGAUUUGUGACCAUUGUGAUGGCGAUUUCAUAUUCACCUCAAAAGGACAUUGAAAAGGUUAAGGUACAAACUGAUUUCCGAGCCACUUUGUGCAGUUGUGAAUUGACUGGUUAUGACUGAGACCAUUAGCCAAGACCCAGACCAAGAAAUUUGAUCCAGACCCAGUUUUGAGCCCCUAACCACAGGACCUAAGUAAUAAGACCCAGACCAAAUCCAAGUUUAUUGGGUUUUGAGGGGGACUCUAACUCUGUCAGUAUUUCCAGGAAUUCUGUUUCUUAUAUUGUG